CUGUUCUUCAUUUCUUCCUGUCUGCUCUAGUUUUCCUUAAAACAUAAGACAAAGUAGGGACUAUUUUGUCUUAAGGAGGUUUCCUACGCCUGACCAUCUCUGACUAGCGGAGGAGCAAAGUGUGCUCCGUUUCCUGUGGUCAGAGAAAUUCUCCCACAAUUCUUACCUUUCCUCAGUGAUCUCGCGAUGCUUCCUGUCAGUAUUCCCGAACAUCCUGUCAUUUCAGAAAUUAC